CAAAGUUUUGGUCCUAAACUUGCCGUUGUUUUUUAUCAAGAUUACACAUGCAAGCAUCUACACACCAGUGAGAAUGCCCACACCCCUUAAACAGGCAACCGGAGCAGGCAUCAGGUUCAAACAACCAUAGCCUAUGACACCUUGCUACGCCACACCCCCACGGGUCUACAGCAGUGAUUAACAUUAAGAUAUAAGCGAAAGCUUGACUUGACUAUGAUUAAUAAAGCCGGUAAAUUUCGUGCCAGCCACCGCGGUUAUACGAAAGACUUAAAACAACAAGCCCACGGCGUAAAGUGUGAACAGAGAAAACACUACAAACCUUAAAGAAAAACUAUAAUAUAAGCCGUAAAACGCCUAAAUCAAUAAGAACACCAAGGAUCUUUAAAUUAAAAGUUACUUGACUCACGAAAGCUAAGAAACAAACUGGGAUUAGAUACCCCACUAUGCUUAGCCCUAAACAUAGACAGUACACACACAAUAUUGUCCGCCAGAGAACUACAAGCAAAAAACUCGAAACUCCAAGGACUUGGCGGUGCUCCACACCAACCUAGAGGAGCCUGUCCUAUAAUCGAUACCCCACGUUAAACCUUACCAUCCUUUGCCAUUCAGCCUAUAUACCGCCGUCGCCAGCCUACCUUAUGAAAGAAAAAUAGUAAGCAAAACAGUUAACAACUAACACGUCAGGUCAAGGUGUAGCAUAUAAGAUGGAAGAGAUGGGCUACAUUUUCUACCACAGAACAAACGAAUGGCCCAAUGAAACCUGGACCUAAAGGUGGAUUUAGCAGUAAGAUAGCUAAAAAAGCCUAUCUUAAAUCCGCUCUGGAGCGCGCACACACCGCCC
rnacentral:ncRNA from 1 species